GACAUCUGUAAAACAAGUUCGAUAUCGAUCGAGUUAAUUAUCGGAGAAUAACUUGGACAUAGUUGGCCAGGUGUAUUUCGAAGGCCCUGGUGCACGGAAACAACUGUAGCAACGCGUCAAGACACGAACGGAGGGGAUGCGAUUACAAUGCACUUACCAGACAAGUGAUAGGCGCGAGCACAACCCAACUGAGCCACCAAUAUCUGCGGAGCAAAAGGCUGAACCGCAUUUGCAUUUCAGCUAUGUUACGCAGGAAUUUGUUGCACCCGUAACACCAGCCUACCACGCCGACCUCGGCAAUGCCGAUCAAUAGUAUUGCCCAAGAAGCGGUGUUCCAGUCCAUCAGCGUGAACAGGAUGAACAGCAUGACGAAAAACAACACUGCCCAGAGAUUGGGCAACGGCAUCCGUGCCACGGCCUCUGGGUACGCGAUGAAAGCCAGCCCUGCCCCGCUUUUGAUCACGUCGUCGAUUGGCAUGCCCACUUGACGGGCAAGAAAUCCCAUAAUGGAGAAAAUUACGAAUCCGGCGAAGAUCGACGUUGCAAGAUUCGUAAACGUCACGAUAAUUGCGUCUCUGAGAGAAGUAAAGGAGAAAAAUAUAUUUAAGACAG
rnacentral:misc_RNA from 1 species